UACGAAGGGUGCAAGCGUUACUCGGAAUUACUGGGCGUAAAGCGUGCGUAGGUGGUUCGUUAAGUCUGAUGUGAAAGCCCUGGGCUCAACCUGGGAAUUGCAUUGGAUACUGGCGGGCUAGAGUACGGUAGAGGGUGGCGGAAUUCCUGGUGUAGCAGUGAAAUGCGUAGAUAUCAGGAGGAACAUCCGUGGCGAAGGCGGCCGCCUGGACCAGUACUGACACUGAGGCACGAAAGCGUGGGGAGCAAACAGGAUUAGAUACCCUGGUAGUCCACGCCCUAAACGAUGCGAACUGGAUGUUGGGUUCAAUUAGGAACUCAGUAUCGAAGCUAACGCGUUAAGUUCGCCGCCUGGGGAGUACGGUCGCAAGACUGAAACUCAAAGGAAUUGACGGGGGCCCGCACAAGCGGUGGAGUAUGUGGUUUAAUUCGAUGCAACGCGAAGAACCUUACCUGGCCUUGACAUGCACGGAACUUUCCAGAGAUGGAUUGGUGCCUUCGGGAACCGUGACACAGGUGCUGCAUGGCU
rnacentral:rRNA from 1 species